rnacentral:lncRNA from 1 species
CUUCCGGUUCGGCGUGUGCGGGGCGUUAUGCUAAGUCUUCCGGCUGGGCGUGUGCGGGGCGCUGUGCUGUCUUCCGGUUCGGCGUGUGCGGGGCGCUGUGCUAAGUCUUCCGGCUGCAUUCGCACUCUUUCCCUCCGACUCAACCAUGGCAUUGUGGUGUUGGCUGUAAGUGACAAGGACCUUGAUCUGGCUGAAGGAAAGAGUGUUGGCUCCUGAGACUGGAAAGCUGAGGGGUCACCCACAUGGUCCAAGAUGGCUGCUGGAGAUCCAGCCAUUACACAAAACUCCAGUCAGCAAGAAGGAAGAAGCAACAAAGAAGGACAUCACCCCCCUCCCCUUUAAGGACACUUUCUAGAAAUUAUAAGAGCACAUGUUUAUGCCCCUUUUGACAGAACUCAGUCACAUACAUGAUCUGGGUGCAAGAAAAAAUGCAAAAUGUGAUUUUUUUUUUUUUUUUGGAGACAGAGUCUUGCUCUGUUGCCCAGGCUGGAAUGCAGUGGCACGAUCUCGGCUCACUGCAACAUCCACCUCCUGGGUUCAAGCGAUUCACCUUUCUCAGCCUCCCAAGUAGUUGGGAUUAUAGGCGCUUGCCACCAUGCCAGGCUAAUUUUUGUAUUUUUAGUAGAGACGGGGUUUCGCCAUGUUGGCCAGGCUGGCCUCGAACUCCUGAUCUCAGGUGAUCCACCCACCUCAGCCUCCCAAAGUGCUGGGAUUACAAGUGUGAGCCACCAUGCCCAGCCUGCAAAAUGUGAUUUUUUAUUCCAGUUUGUCACAGGUCCAAGUAAGAAUCAGAGUUUUUCUUGCUAAGGAAGAAGGGGAGAUGCAUAGUGAGGGACAAUGAUCAGAUUUUGCCACAAAUAGAUGCUAUUCUUGUUAUCCUUGCUUUUAGAUAAAAUUGAGGCUCAGAAAGAUUAAAUACCUUACCUAGGGUCAUGCAACUCCCAGCCUGCCCCUACAGCCUGUGCCUGCAAUAACCACUAUCAUAUAAUUCCAUUUAAUUAGAUUUCAGAGAUGCCAAUUACCUAAGGAGGGUCCAAUGACAGGCAAAUUCUAUUUUUUAAAAAAAUCUAACAUUCAAACAAAUUGAGCAUUCAGACAUCACAACUUUGUCAAAAACCCUAACGAUCACAGCAAAUGUAGAAAAACACAGGAGAAAAAAUGUUUAAACUAUACACACAGAGGUAUGAAAGAGAAGCAAGACCAGCUUUUGCACAGAUCAACAGUCCUUCCAGAGAAGAAAAAGCCCAUCACAUGUUCCGGAAGCCAAUUUAACUAGGAUGAUCACAAAGAAGAAACAAGGGAGUGUACCAAGUGGCAACGCAGCCACAGGGUGGGGAAGUCAUGCUUGAAAUCACUAAGAAUAAAAGUUUGAGCA